UAUGGCCAUAUCAUGUUGAAACACCGGUUCUCGUACGAUCACCGAAGUUAAGCAACGUCAAACCGGGUUAGUACCUCGAUAAAUGACCACUUGCAAAUGCCAUGUGAUGUAAG